UGUGGCUCAGUUGAUAGAGUGCUUGCCUGGUAUGCAGGAGGUCCUGGGUUCAAUCUCAGCA
rnacentral:tRNA from 1 species